UCGCGCGUAAGUGGCGGGUGUCCGCGAGGCCCCGAACGGCUGUUUGUAGCCGUAGGCCCACUUACGCGCGAUU
rnacentral:sRNA from 1 species